UAACCCAGACAGGAUGUUUGAUACAGGGUUUUAACCCAGACAGGAUGUUUGAUACAGGGUUUUAACCCAGACAGGAUGUUUGAUACAGGGUUUUAACCCAGACAGGAUGUUUGAUACAGGGUUUUAACCCAGACAGGAUGUUUGAUACAGGGUUUUAACCCAGACAGGAUGUUUGAUACAGGGUUUUAACUCUCCACCAGACAGGAUGUUUGAUACAGGGUUUUAACCCAGACAGGAUGUUUGAUACAGGGUUUUAACCCAGACAGGAUGUUUGAUACAGGGUUUUAACCCAGACAGGAUGUUUGAUACAGGGUUUUAACCCAGACAGGAUGUUUGAUACAGGGUUUAACCCUCCACCAGACAGGGUGUUUGAUACAGGGUUUUAACCCAGACAGGAUGUUUGAUACAGGGUUUUAACCCAGACAGGAUGUUUGAUACAGGGUUUUAACUCUCCACCAGACAGGAUGUUUGAUACAGGGUUUUAACCCAGACAGGAUGUUUGAUACAGGGUUUUAACCCAGACAGGAUGUUUGAUACAGGGUUUUAAGCCAGACAGGAUGUUUGAUACAGGGUUUUAACCCAGACAGGAUGUUUGAUACAGGGUUUUAACCCAGACAGGAUGUUUGAUACAGGGUUUUAACUCUCCACCAGACAGGAUGUUUGAUACAGGGUUUUAACCCAGACAGGAUGUUUGAUACAGGGUUUUAACCCAGACAGGAUGUUUGAUACAGGGUUUUAACCCAGACAGGAUGUUUGAUACAGGGUUUUAACUCUCCACCAGACAGGAUGUUUGAUACAGGGUUUUAACCCAGACAGGAUGUU